rnacentral:rRNA from 1 species
UACAGAGGGGGCAAGCGUUAUUCGGAAUUAUUGGGCGUAAAGGGCGCGUAGGCGGCUUUGCAAGUGACGGGUGAAAUCCCUCGGCUUAACCGAGGAACUGCCUGUCAAACUGCAUGGCUUGAGACCGGGAGAGGUGAGUGGAAUUCCCAGUGUAGCGGUGAAAUGCGUAGAUAUUGGGAGGAACACCAAUUGCGAAGGCAGCUCGCUGGGACGUCACUGACGCUGAGACGCGAAAGCGUGGGGAGCAAACAGG